GUAUCAAGGGUUCACUCUGCAUGAAAAUCGAAAGAGAAUUGGGCUAAUAUUCCCGAACCAGGACAUGGUGGUGGACGACAAUGUUAGGAAAUAUGGAGAUGUCAUUGGGGGCCUGGGAAGAGUUAUCUUUUCUUUUUAACGACUUUCCCACCCUGAAAUCGGUUCAACCGAAGAUAGGGUCCAACAUCUGGAAGAGCACCACAUGUCUUUCAGUGUUUGGUGCCCCCUCGGCGGCCAUUGAAAAUAUGGAGAACUGAGUACCAUCCAUGCCCGAUCAUACU
rnacentral:ncRNA from 1 species